rnacentral:rRNA from 1 species
UACGUAGGGGGCUAGCGUUGUCCGGAAUCAUUGGGCGUAAAGCGCGUGUAGGCGGCCUUGUAAGUCCGUUCUGAAAGCCCGGGGCUCAACCCCGGGAGGCGGAUGGAUACUGCAAGGCUCGAGUCCGGAAGAGGCAAGUGGAAUUCCCGGUGUAGCGGUGAAAUGCGCAGAUAUCGGGAGGAACACCAAUGGCGAAGGCAGCUUGCUGGGACGGUACUGACGCUGAGA